rnacentral:rRNA from 1 species
GUCUUUUUGAUUUUAUUUAAAGUCUCGCCUGCCCACUGAUAUUUUAAAUGGCCGCAGUAUUUUGACUGUGCUAAGGUAGCAUAAUCAUUAGUUUCUUAAUUAGAAGCUGGAAUGAAGGGUUGGAUGAAAAAAUGACUGUCUUUAUUUGAAUUUAUAGAAUUUUAUUUUUAAGUUAAAAAGCUUAAAUUUUUUUAAAAGACGAGAAGACCCUUUAGAGUUUAAUAAUUAUUUUUUUUUAAUUAUUUAGAAUUUAAUUUUUAAAAUUUUAAUAAUUAUUUAAUUGGGGUGAUUUAAAAAUUUAAUAAACUUUUUAUUUAUGUUAAUAUAAAUUAGUAGAUAUUUGAUCCAAUAUUUUUGAUUAUAAGAUUAAAUUACCUAAGGGAUAACAGCGUAAUUUUGCUGGAGAGUUCAAAUUAAUAGCAGAGAUUGCGACCUCGAUGUUGGAUUAAAAUUUAUAAUGGGUGUAGAAGCUUUAUUAUUAAGUCUGCUGGUCU